UACGUAGGGGGCAAGCGUUGUCCGGAAUUAUUGGGCGUAAAGAGCGCGCAGGCGGUUUGUUAAGUCUACCGUGAAAGCUUACGGCUCAACCGUAACGGGUCGGUGGAUACUGGCAGACUUGAGGGCAGGAGAGGAAAGUGGAAUUCCCAGUGUAGCGGUGAAAUGCGUAGAGAUUGGGAGGAACACCAGUGGCGAAGGCGACUUUCUGGACUGUUACUGACGCUGAGGCGCGAAAGCUGGGGGAGUGAAC
rnacentral:rRNA from 2 species